rnacentral:lncRNA from 1 species
CAGCCAUGGCGCAGCUGGCCAGCGAGAUGGGCUCCUGGCUACCAAGACAGAAAGACUAAGAGUUACGCGGGGACCCGACCCUCAGGAGGCUGAAUCUACCACUCUUUCUACAUAAGGAUGCGCGUUUUCAUGGGACGCUGACAACAACUGCAACCAUCAACCUGACACUGCUGGGCGGGGACGUUUAACAAUACGUGUACCCGCCUGGCACCUGCCUACAACACCCGACAGCCAGAGGACCCUACAAACCUAGCAGGAAGACAGCUGGGCGCCACAGCCAUUGGUAAAAAACCUCGCUGGGCAGCCGAGCAGGGCUGGGGGAGGAACCCCAGGCUGCGUCCCAGAUUCUCCCCGGUACCCAAAGUGUUGCCUGCUCUCUCUGACGUCACUUCACUUUUGUCCACAAACAAUGUUGACCUCUCUCGCGUGCACACACCCGGGGAGGGAAGAAACUGGACUGAGACCAUCUCUCCUGUUUUUGGCGGCUAAGCAGGUCCGCUGCCUGCUCAUGUGUCUGGCACAGCUCAAAGUCCUGCUCCUUUUUGCCCAUUCUGGACACUGGCUUGAAGGACACGCAUGUCUGCAGAUGGGCAGAAGGAGCUUUUUAUACAGUUAAAGAAGGAUUCGCUGGGCUCUUCGGAGACUAAUUCCAUCUUGUUUUCAAAAUUUGCUGCCCUUCUCAAUUUCACCGGAACCCGGAGGGUAGACAGGCCUGUCCCAGGAAACAAGUGACCAGGCUUUGCAACUGGAGUUUCGGGAUCAGACUCGGGCCAGGUUGGCACUGAACGCGCCCCCACCUGCCAACCUGGGGCCAUGUGAGUGGGGGCCCAGGGAAUGAUGAAGAUCCAGCCCAUCCUACCCAGGCCUGUGUGGACGGAGGAGCAGGUCUGGUGGAAAAGGAAAACCCAUGUUGUUC